GUGCCCGCUUCGGCAGCACAUAUACUAAAACUGAAACGAUACAGAGAAGAUUAGCAUAGCCCCUGCGCAAGGAUGACACGAGAUAAUGAACUUCU
ensembl:snRNA U6 U6 spliceosomal RNA